UAGUAUAUCUAAACUAUAUCUUAUAGAAUUAUCUUAACACUCCCCCUCAAGCUGGAGCAUAUAUAUCAUAUGCAUCUAGCUUGUUACAUAUAUAUGUUAUCCUAGGACCUCGUAAAGAUUUAGUAAAGAUAUCUGCAAGUUGAUCCUUGGAGCAAACUGAGGAGGUCUUGAUGAUACCGGAGAGGAUCUUUUCUCUGAUGAAAUGGCAGUCAACCUCUAUAUGCUUUGUUCUCUCAUGAAAAACUGGAUUAGAGAAGAGGUAUAAAGCUGACUGGUUAUCACAAAC